UGGAAAUCGGAUCUAGAUCCAGCUGGCCACAGGUCCUCAAUGAGAUUAAGCUUGGUGCUGGGGAUUACCAGUGAAUAAAGCACGCUGCCAGGGCCUUUCCUGAGUGACUGAUGCUGUGAGGAUGAGCAUGUGGUGUUUGCAUUGGAGGGACAAGGUGCCAACUUAAGUCAGCGCUUCUGAGAGCGGAUCAAGUGAAGUUGUAUCUACCAUGACCAAAAUCUCAUCUCCAGGAUCACUUGGUCUUGGAACUCUGAGCCAGCAUAUUAGAAAUCCAGCUGUUUUUCUGGGAGACCAUGUAAGAGACUCUGAGACUACAUGGAGAGGAAGAGGAACCAGGUGAGCUGUCUUCCAGCCUCUCCUGUCAGGCAACCAGACACUUGGGUAAGACUGUC
ensembl:lncRNA novel transcript